rnacentral:rRNA from 1 species
GAUGAACGCUGGCGGCGUGCUUAAUACAUGCAAGUCGAGCGAACAGAUGAUGAGCUUGCUCCUCUCACGUUAGCGGCGGACGGGUGAGUAACACGUGGAUAACCUCCCUAUAUGACUGGGAUAACUUCGGGACACCGGAGCUAAUACGGGAUAAGAUACUGAAGCGCAUGGUUCAAUGGAAAAAGACGGUGUUUCUGGAACGUAUAGAUGGUUCCGCGCCGCUUUGGAUAGUUGGUAAGGUAACAGCUUAUGAAGGGAACGAUGCGUAGCCGAACUCAGAGAGUGAUCGGCCACACUGGAACGGAGACACGGUCCAGAGUACUAAGGGAGGCAGCAGUAGGGAACCUUAGGCAAUGGGGGGAAGCCUUACGGAGCGACGCCGAGUGUGAGAUGAAGGUCUUCCGAUCGUAAAACUCUCUUAUUAGGGAAAAACAACUGUGUAAGGAAAUAAGCACGUCUUGACGGUAACUAAUCAGAAAGCAACGGCUAACUACGUG